rnacentral:lncRNA from 1 species
CACAAAUGUAUGUCAUAUCUUUUCUUACAGAUUCGUAUUGGAGAAUAAAGUUGUCCUGGAAUCAACAAAAUGUUCAUAUUACUCUACAAAGACCAUCAUUUUUUGUUAAUAUGAAACCUUAUGAAUCGUAUUUCGUUAAAUAUGCACGUCUCCCAGCCGCGCGUCACCACCUCUCUUCCGUCCAUUUGAGAAGCUUCGCCAUUCACCACGACGCCGCUGAGCCGUCGCCAUCUAUUUCUUUGCAAAGUUCGAUAGAUAGAUUAGAUAGAUAGAUAGUGCACUAAAAGAGAACAAAUUCAUAAGAAAAGUAAUGUAUACACCUGAUAUCCCAACUCCCAAGAAUCAAACUGUGGUAAAACAAAACUAAUACAUACCAUGGCUAUCCAACAGCACAUAGUAGUGACAAAUCUGAACCGGGUCCCCUUCCCUUAGGAUAUGAUAUACCUUCAGGCCGAUUAACUCUAGGUGUUCUAUGAAUUCUGAAAGUCUGAAUCAACUCAUGUGCAACUUUUGACGAUGGUGCAAAUGGAGAGGCAUCACAAGAUUGGAUCCUUAUCCUGCUAUAUAACUGUAGUACAGUUAAAGCAAAUAAGCUAAGGAAUUGGACAGCAGGAUGAAGGUGCACCACACCAUCCAAUUCUGAAAAGGUGGCGGCUAAUGGUCUUCCUUGUUGAAUCCAUAAGGACUAUGCUUUUCUAUCCUUGAACUAAGCUGAAACUCGAGCUCUAAAAUCUGAACGAAAAAACUUGAUUUCUUGGAAGGAGGGUCACUGCUCCAAAUCGUGUUGCCUCGCCCAUACAUCACCGAAGCUGGGGCACACAUUGGAGCAGUGGCAUUUGCGACGCCCAGCAGCGGGGUCACAUCUCAUCCCCAUCAGUUCAAAUCAAAACAGAACGCAAAUUAGCCCAAACAGUUAGAAGACUUAUUUAAACCGCACAUGGUGCACUCAGACAUAAGAGAAGACCCAAGCAGAGCGAUCAAGCCAUGCAAUUCUAGUUAUUAAAAUACUAAUUAGUUAUUGUAUCUAGACGGACAGUCUUAUGUAAAACGUUUAGAUUUACGUAGUAGUUUGCAAGGAGCAUAUACAUACUAUUUUUCAAAUGGGGUGUAUACAAGUAUACAACUGAUACUACUUUAACUGAAAACAUCAGAGAGCAUGUUUUAAUUCAUUCAUGAUCUCUGCAUUUUAUUUAGAAACAAGCAUGCACCAAGAUACUCACAUAGAGAGCAGAAUCCUCUCUUUCACAGUACUAUUGUUUCAUCUAGCUCUAACAUAUCCUCUCUUUCUCCCUUUUAAUAAGUAGUAUAGUUGAUGCUAUACAGACUUAAGAAGUAAGUAGUUGAUGACAGAUACAAAUCGAUGACACUGUAGUAUGUACCUCAGGUCAGACGAAGUUUCGGCAGAUAGUAGAGUAUGUGCAGACAGAUUUCCGGCGAAGUCGGCGGUGUACAGCCACAGCGCUAUCGGAAACUUGAGGCGUGAAGAUGAGCCAAAUAACUGCAGAUUAUUCCAGAGAGUUAGAACACGAAAAACUAUUUGACCUUGCAAUAAAAUAGAAAGGGUUCGGCGAUGUGCACAUCUCUCUUUGCUCUCUCUCUCUCUCUCUCUCUCUCUCUCUACCUCACCUCUUUUUUCACCACAAGUUACAAAACCAAAUAACUGAAUUUGUUGGCCCUGUACAUCAUUUAAAGAUUAAAAGAAACUCAAAUCCAAGAUCAGUUGUCGUUCAUGACCUCUACAUUUUAUACAGAAACAAGAAUGCACCAAGAUACUCACAUAGAAAGCAGAAUCCUCUGUUUCACAGGGCUAUUGUUUCAUCUAUCUCUAACAUAUCAUCUAUUUCUCCCUUUUAAUAAGUAGUAUAGUUGACGACAUACAUACUUAAGAAGUAAGUAGUUGAUGACAGAUACAAAUUGAUGACACUGUAGUAUGUACCUCAGGUCAGACAAAGUUUCGGCGGACAGUAGAGUAUGUGCAGAAGGAUUUCCGGCGAAGUCGACGGUGUACAGCCACGGCGCUGUUGGAAACUUGAGGCGCGACGAUGAACCAAAUAACUGCAGACUAUCCCAAAGAGUUAGAACACGAAAAACUAUUUGACCUUGCAAUAGAAUGGAAAGGGUUAGGUGAUGUGCACGGUCAUAUGCAUGAAAGCAUCGAAUUUGUUUACAUGUAACAUCAGCAGUAUAUACAUGUAGUCGCCUCCAAAAUUGACCAUAUGAGCUUUCAAAUGAAAGGACAAAAAUGAAAAAGGAACAUAUAAGAAAUGUGAGUUAUAUAGUAUUUUAUUACCAACAUGGCAUCACUCAAAGAUAAUACUUGUCAAAGAACAGCUUGAUCAGGCACAAAGACCUAGACAUGUGAAAGAGAAGGGAAUCAACACAUAAAAUUUAACCUGAAUCUACCUCAACCAUGAGCAAGUACGAGCACUGCUCCUUGCCUUGAGUAAGUGCUUGCUCUGGCUUAGUUUGCCCCAGCACAACAGAGAUCAUUCCCUGGAUGGCAUAUAUUUAAUAUACGUUCUCCUCCUAGUACUAAAAAUAGGACUACAUGGCUUCCUAGCGAGUUAAAGCUAACAUAGAUCAGAGAGCAAACUAAUUUCACCAAUUUAUCACUGUAAUCUCUAUUGAAUGCAACACUUUGCCACAUCUUGUAUUAUCUAUAUGGCAUUGCUAAAGUGAUUCUAAUCUGAAAAAAGAAUAAAAAAAUCCAACUUUGCCAUGUUAAACAGCAUCCAUAGUAUUGCAUGAUGUAGUGACCCAAAAUUAGUAGCACUAUAAUUGGAUGGUUCAAACUCAUGUGCCAGAUGUCCUAAAAGUUCAGACUUGUAUUCACAAAAUAAGGAAAUUCAACAAUAUAUCUUCAAAUGUAACUAUGGAUGGAUUGAACAACCAAAUUGCUACCUGAUAGAGCAAAAUUCCAUAUGCUUUCUGUUUUUUAAACCGAGUUCGGGGUGGAUUCCAUAUUCUAACUGCACUUUACGGGAAUGGAUCUACAAUCAUAUUAAGAGAUUCCCUUCAUCUUGAGCUGGUGCUUCAGCUGUUGGAACACUUAAGCUCAGAUCUUCAGUAUGAUUUUCUUUAAGUGUAGGAUCGAACAAAACC